UACGUAGGGGGGCAAGCGUUGUCCGGAAUCAUUGGGCGUAAAGAGCGCGUAGGCGGCCCUGUAAGUCCGCUGUGAAAGUCAAGGGCUCAACCCUUGAAUGCCGGUGGAUACUGCAGGGCUAGAGUCCGGGAGAGGAGAGUGGAAUUCCUGGUGUAGCGGUGAAAUGCGCAGAUAUCAGGAAGAACACCCGUGGCGAAAGCGGCUCUCUGGAACGGUACUGACGCUGAGACGCGAAAGCGUGGGAGCGAACAGG
rnacentral:rRNA from 1 species